GAUGAACGCUGGCGGCGUGCCUAAUACAUGCAAGUCGAGCGAACAGACGAGGAGCUUGCUCCUCUGACGUUAGCGGCGGACGGGUGAGUAACACGUGGAUAACCUACCUAUAAGACUGGGAUAACUUCGGGAAACCGGAGCUAAUACCGGAUAAUAUAUUGAACCGCAUGGUUCAAUAGUGAAAGACGGUUUUGCGGUCACUUAUAGAUGGAUCCGCGCCGCAUUAGCUAGUUGGUAAGGUAACGGCUUACCAAGGCGACGAUGCGUAGCCGACCUGAGAGGGUGAUCGGCCACACUGGAACUGAGACACGGUCCAGACUCCUACGGGAGGCAGCAGUAGGGAAUCUUCCGCAAUGGGCGAAAGCCUGACGGAGCAACGCCGCGUGAGUGAUGAAGGUCUUCGGAUCGUAAAACUCUGUUAUUAGGGAAGAACAAAUGUGUAAGUAACUAUGCACGUCUUGACGGUACCUAAUCAGAAAGCCACGGCUAACUACGUG
rnacentral:rRNA from 1 species